UACAGAGGUGCCAAGCGUUAGGCGGAAUCACUGGGCUUAAAGCGCGUGUAGGCGGGUCGUUAAGUGUCUUGUGAAAUCCCACGGCUCAACCGUGGAACUGCUGGGCAUACUGACGAUCUUGAGGCACUCAGGGGCUGUCGGAACAAAUGGUGGAGCGGUGAAAUGCGUAGAUAUCAGUUGGAACGCCAACGGUGAAAACAGACAGCUGGGGGUGUCCUGACGCUGAGACGCGAAAGCCAGGGGAGCGAACGGG
rnacentral:rRNA from 1 species